AGUUAGAAACCUAUUCGCUGGACUAGCCACCAUCGUAAACCUAACUGGUUGCCGGCGAACGGCGUAAAACACCGGGCAUCUUCUUCUUCAUCGUAUUCUCCCUUCAUCUUUUGAGGUAAGCUUGUGAUUAUGAGUUUCUUCUCUUACUUAGCUUGUAAUUAUAGAUUUUGAUUUUUUUUUAAUUCGUAUUGUAGCCGUUAUUGUCAAUUUUUGUCCCGCCAGCAAUUUUUUUUUAUUCCUACAAGUUGAAGCCCCUGUGUUCUUGUUCCAUUGGUGAGUUUGCUCACUCAAAUUAAUUUUGUUCUGCGGAAUUUACAAAGUUCAAAUGGAUUCAUUUGAAUUACUAUUGAAUUUAGCUUUAAUUCCAACAUCCAUUCUAAUGUUUUGCAAUUCGAUUUACUUUAAAUUUAUGUUUAAAGCUUCUACAAUGAAUAGCAGAGCUUGGGUUUUAGUUUCAUAUUCUGGAUAACUUGUUUUAGUUUAUCUUGUAUGCUCACCAAGUGCUUGUUAUAUUGUCUGAUAAGUUAUAUACAUUGCUGAUUCUAUAUUCAAAUGUUAUGUUCUAUUUUCAGAAAUUAUAAUACAAAAGUUUUUACAAUGGCGUGCAUCUACAAACUGAAUUGACUUGUAGAAUAAGAGCUUGGAGUAAAUGAAAGUUCAUAUUGUGUAAGAGCAUGUAGAUGUAAAGCAUCAUUACCAUAUCUACAAAGUGCUUUCAUUCUGUUCAGAUGCUCUUCUUGAAAUUUGAAAGGUGCCUCGUUCAAGUCCUAGCGAUAACUACUAGCUUUGAUUAAUUAAGUUCCAAUACAAGCUGAAACAGAUUUAUUUAAUUAAUUAAUUGUGUACAUACUAAUUAUAUUGAAAGUAUAUGAAACUUUUUUUUUUUAACAUGAGUGACUUGUAAAUGACUUAAAAACCUAAAGGAUGUGUGAAAUAAUGCUCACUUCACUUGAAUGAGCCUAUUAAUACUUUUAUGUCUAUGAUUUUCAAUAUUGGCUUAAGCAUUUCAGUUAAGUGGUUUACCUAACAGAGAAAAAAAUUUAAUAGAAAACUUCAGAGUUCUAACAGAAAUAUAGUUCACUAUGCAGAUAUAGUUAUUUUACGGUAUACAAAUCAAGUUGUCCUAAUCUCAAUGUCCUAUGACCGAUUUUAUUUUAUAUAGUCAUUAAUUUUUGCCUUGGUUUUUUGUGUUUAUGGGUAUGAAAUAGUGGGAUUUGGUGUACCUUAGCAUCCUUUGAAAAUUCUCUUUCAGCAACAGAAAUAUACAUAUAAUCAAGUUUCUUAAUCGUGUAUAUUAGUUUUGGGUAUGAAUGUUCCUAUUCUAGUUCUAGGCAAAGCUUCUUCGUUUUGGUCUUCAGAUUUCCAGUAGGUUAAGUUAAUUAACUAUCAUAACUGGCUAGCUAGUUAUUGUCUGCCUUGGCCCCAUUACCCAGGCCAUUAUAUUGCAUAGCAUAAGGAAUAGUGAUUAGGUGAUUAUUAGUGAUUUGUUGAGCUUAUUAUUGACCAAACAAACAUAUUUGCCUUUGCCCACAACUUAGUUUGAUUAGUUUUAGACCACAAAGAGCCUUGAUGUAUUCAUUGGCUUUAUUAUUUUUAUUUGGUUUUUCUUUCAACAAUAUUGUUGAUUUCUUAUAAAAAUAUUCAUUGGUUUUUAAACACCUAAUCAUUGGCUAUAUGAAGCAAAUUAAAACUGAGGCUUUGGAUCAAUUUCUUCUAACAAGAUACAAAUGAGCAUAACCUUUCUCCUCUAAGUAAAUUUUUUUAACAUCCUUGAUUUGUAAGGAUCUGGAGGCCUGAAAUCCUCUAGAUUUUUUUUAACACUGUCAAUGUUCUUUUUAUUCUGAAAAGGAAAUAAAAGGUUUUAUCUUUCAUACCCUAAUAGUAAGCUGGCCUUGUCUUAACAUGGCUUCUUGAGGAUUUGCAAGAUUCAUAGUUCCCCCAACACCG
rnacentral:lncRNA from 1 species